UGGGGAAUAUUGCGCAAUGGCCGCAAGGCUGACGCAGCGACGCCGCGUGUGGGAUGACGGCCUUCGGGUUGUAAACCACUGUCGGGAGGGACGAAUACGGGGCCUCGAAUAGGGGACCCCGGGUGACGGUACCUCCAAAGGAAGCACCGGCUAACUCCGUGCCAGCAGCCGCGGUAAUACGGAGGGUGCGAGCGUUGUCCGGAAUUACUGGGCGUAAAGGGCGCGUAGGCGGUUCGUUAAGUUGCUGGUGAAAUCCCGGGGCUCAACUCCGGGGCUGCCGGCAAGACUGGCGGGCUCGAGCACGGUAGAGGCAGAUGGAAUUCCCGGUGUAGCGGUGGAAUGCGUAGAUAUCGGGAAGAAUACCGGUGGCGAAGGCGUUCUGCUGGGCCGUUGCUGACGCUGAGGCGCGACAGCGUGGGGAGCAAACAGGAUUAGAUACCCGCGUAGUCC
rnacentral:rRNA from 1 species